rnacentral:rRNA from 1 species
UGCAAGUCGAACGGCAGCACGGACUUCGGUCUGGUGGCGAGUGGCGAACGGGUGAGUAAUGUAUCGGAACGUGCCUAGUAGCGGGGGAUAACUACGCGAAAGCGUAGCUAAUACCGCAUACGCCCUACGGGGGAAAGCAGGGGAUCGCAAGACCUUGCACUAUUAGAGCGGCCGAUAUCGGAUUAGCUAGUUGGUGGGGUAACGGCUCACCAAGGCGACGAUCCGUAGCUGGUUUGAGAGGACGACCAGCCACACUGGGACUGAGACACGGCCCAGACUCCUACGGGAGGCAGCAGUGGGGAAUUUUGGACAAUGGGGGAAACCCUGAUCCAGCCAUCCCGCGUGUGCGAUGAAGGCCUUCGGGUUGUAAAGCACUUUUGGCAGGAAAGAAACGUCAUGGGCUAAUACCCCGUGAAACUGACGGUACCUGCAGAAUAAGCACCGGCUAACUACGUGCCAGCAGCCGCGGUAAUACGUAGGGUGCAAGCGUUAAUCGGAAUUACUGGGCGUAAAGCGUGCGCAGGCGGUUCGGAAAGAAAGAUGUGAAAUCCCAGAGCUUAACUUUUGGAACUGCAUUUUUAACUACCGAGCUAGAGUGUGUCAGAGGGAGGUGGAAUUCCGCGUGUAGCAGUGAAAUGCGUAGAUUUGCGGAGGAACACCGAUGGCGAAGGCACCUCCUGGGAUAACACUGACGCUCAUGCACUA